rnacentral:rRNA from 1 species
UACGUAGGGGGCAAGCGUUGUCCGGAAUCAUUGGGCGUAAAGAGCGUGUAGGCGGCCCGGUAAGUCCGCCGUGAAAGUCCAGGGCUCAACCCUGGAAUGCCGGUGGAAACUGCCGGGCUGGAGUCCGGAAGAGGCGAGUGGAAUUCCUGGUGUAGCGGUGAAAUGCGCAGAUAUCAGGAGGAACACCGGUGGCGAAGGCGGAUCUCCUGG